GUCUGUUUUGGUUGGGACAUUGGAAAAGAAGGACCAUAGAGAGAGAGAGAGAAAUUCCUACCGAAUGAAGAAUGUAUAGUCCAGCUGUGAGCCGCAUCCAUUCACGACGAACCACGGGUGUUUAUGAAGAAUCAACAUGUUCUACCAUCGAGGGGCAGUCUGUGAGCCUUCUUCGUUAUAACGGGUGUGUGUGUCUGGUUCACUGUCAGAGGGGAAAGAUCAGAGGUCACAGCAGGUCGGGGGCUAGAAGCUAGGGAUCAUGUCUGCCGUGGCGUUCCAGGACCUUCCUCUUAACAUCUACAUGGUCAUCUUCGGGACCGGAGUCUUCGUCUUCGUCCUCAGUCUCAUCUUCUGCUGCUACUUCAUCAGUAAACUAAGGCACCAGGCUCGGCGAGAGAGGUUUGGAUACAAAGCGGUGGUAUUCAAAGGGGAUACAAAGAAACUGAAUCUAAA